GCCCACGGUGGCGAAGUACGCGUCGUCGACGUUCGCGACGUCGACCAGCGUGGGAUCGUCCCCGGCCUGGUGGUG
rnacentral:tRNA from 1 species